rnacentral:rRNA from 1 species
AUGCCUUAUUACACCGGACAUGCAUCAUACUUGUUUGUGCAUCAUGCCAUGCUUAUGCUUGUUGGUUUACCAUGUUGUUUGCUUCUUUCCGGUUUGCUUCUCUCGGUAGCUUCGAUUUUGUUCUGGAGUUGUGAGGAUUCGUUCGACUACAUCCGUUUGUCUUCUUCUUGGACUUGUUCUUCUUCCUUGUGGGAUCUCAGGCAAGAUGACCGUUACCCUGGAUCUCACUACUAUAAUUGCUAUGCUAGUUGCUUCGUUCUAUCGCUAUGCUGCGCUACCUAUCACUUGUUUAUCAAACCUCCCAAAUUGUCAUGUCAGCCUCUAACCUUUUCACCCUUCCUAGCAAACCUUUGUUUGGCCAUGUUACCGCUUUGCUCAGCCCCUCUUAUAGCAUUGUUAGUUGCAGGUGAAGUUGAAGAUUGCUCCAUGUUGGAACAUGUGUAUGUUGGGAUAUCACAAUAUCUCUUAUUUUAA